rnacentral:lncRNA from 1 species
AACAGGUUUGCUGAUCUCAGGUUCAAGAUACGCUCCAACCAGGAAAUGAAGCUCGUGCUGAAAUGCAGAAAGCCAUCUGAAUACUCAGAGACAAAUGGGAACAGCUGCUGGCAUACCAAAGUGUGGCACUGAAGGAGGCAGUCUGCAGGCGUAGCCGGGGUGGCAAGAACAUGGUCUGCCAAGGAACUUCUUCUGGAUACGUCAUAAAGCAGGAAAAGGAUGCUGUUCUUGAUAUUGUCAGUGGAGAAGUCCAGUCUGGGGCCAAAACCACAAAAGUGAAGCCUUACAAAACCAGAAAACCAAGCAGAAAGAUCUUCAGCUGAUAAUGCCCUCUUUCCUCAGUAUGCAGACAGCAUUUUCCUUGAUAGAUGUAUGCAUUCCUGUGGAAAAGACUCCACCAUUCUGCUGACAUCUGAUGCUUGACAGGCUCUGGACAGAUGGAAAAAAUUGAGGAAUCAAACCAGAACAAGUUGCACUGGGACUAUUAUGUGCAAAGAAGCAAGCUCUGCACUGAGAAGGUAACAAAGGAGCAGGCCAAAUACUAGAAGGUAUUUUCUUCCGAGAGCUGAUGCAACCAUGCCAGAGCCUUGCACGAGGAAAUGAGGUACUUCUGUGUGUUUCUAUAGAGCUUUAGAAAAAUGAAAAUUUGAAGGUGAGGUUAAGAGAGGAUGGGCAGUUUCAGUCUUUGUUUCACGGAGCCUCUCUCUCUCUCUCUCUUUUUUUUUUUUUAAUACUCUCUGACAAAGAGAAAACAGUUAUCCAUAACCAUCUAUCUGCCUGGGCUUUGGGAGGGAUGUUUCAGAAGUAUAGUGCAAACAUCUUGGAACAGCAUGUAACGUUCUUCCAAGUCAGAAGUAAGAAUAUGUCUACUAUUGAAUUGUAUACAGACACUCUUCUGCCCUUGGUUUUAUCUCCAAAUAUGAUUUUCCAGCCUUGAUCUGCUGGACUGAAAUAGUUUGUAUGUCCCCACAGUUUUCCUAAAUGAGAGAAAAGAAGAAGGAGUUUUGUACUUCUCCCUGUAACAUCGUGUGGGCAGAUAAAAAUUAACCUGUCUGAAUUCCACAACAGCACAAGUUGUCAUUGUAUUCUUCCACAAAUAUAAGUCAAGAGGAUGCUUACAUACAAAAAAUCUUUAAAAAUAAAUACAUCUGCAUUUGGGAUGAUUCAGAGGAUGGUAUGCAAAAUAAAUCAGGUGUAAAGGCUAUAACAGGCAUCAUAAAAGAUUCAGAAUAGUAUUGAAUUGUUCUGGGUGAAAAGAAAACAAACAUAAAUCACUAGGCUUCAAUUAAUAUUGUGUCAGUUUUGUUUCUGGAUUUUUUUCCUACUUAAUAAUGUUCAUUGAAAAAGAACCCAUCAAGUUAAAAAGGGACAUGGGGAAUUUUUCCAGGCUACAUCACAGAUGUCACAGACUAUCAGAGACAGCUGAGAGUGAUGAUAGAAAGUGUGGUAAUAGCUUUAUGCUGCAUUUUUGUAGCUCCCUGUUCCCUAAUGCACUUUCUGUUCUAGAACAAAGGUGCCCAAUGCUUUAAAAUUAUAUUUGCAUCCCUUCAUUAAUGAUGUACUGCUUUGGCAAUUAGUAACAUAAAGUCUUGAAAAAUAGGUGUGUGUACACAUACGCACACACAUAUAAUAUUAGAAUUUUUUGGAGCAAUUCAGAUGUAUUUGUAAGAACAGUGGUUGGAGUUUUCUUUGCCAGAAUGUGACCUCCUGGACUUUCCCUUUGCUCCAUCACAGCCAAUGAAAAAACAAUAAUUCCAGGUUUAUGGUUGAUGGAACUUUGAGAUUAUCAAUGACAUCUCUGAAAUUUGUCAGAGCACACUCUUAAAAAAUCUAUGAUGAGAUAGAUGAAAACAAGUUAUUUUAGAUAAGGACAAGCUAUCUGGAUGCUUCUGGAUUUCCACACCGAAGGCUGCAUCUAUAGGUUUAGCAAAUGAUGUAGGCCUCUGAAAUCUUUAAAAUUAAAAAGGAAUAGCCUUUAAAUUUGAUAAAAAUCUCUUUGUAAAAAUGAAAGGAGAGUCAGAAAUUGAUUGCAGAAAGUGAAGCAGCAGAGGUUGGAGCCUAUGAAAUGAAAUGGUCACUGGGCAAGGCUCAUUUUACAGACUUGUAUUAAAAUUUAAAGAAAUUAAAUGAUCAUAUAUUAAUUAUCCACAUAAAUUGAAAAUAUGAGCUAAGAACAUGGAAAAGGGCAAUAGAAUACUGAUUACUUUUUCUCUCUGUCUAAAAAAGCAAAGCUUUAAAAAUGUUUUGUAGUUUUUCAUUUAAAAAUUAAUUCCUGAAAGAUUAAGGAAUGUCUCAAUGAUGAAGACCAAAAUGUUUCCACAUAAUUCUCUGUAAGCCGCUGAGCUUGGCCUUGUGAACAAAGCCUGGAUCUAGCCAUUUAGCAUGCAGAUACAUCACGUUUUAGUUUAUUGCCUAUUUCUCGUGAAGGUUAAUAAUUGCAGUAUUUACACUGAAUUUUUAAUUAAGGUGUCUUUGAUUCUCUAGAUUACCAUUUAAUUAAGAGCCAAUAUCUCUAUGCCUCACGAACCCUGCCUAUUAUAGAAAUAGUUCUUAUGCUUUGUUAUUGCUCUCUUGAAACUUAAUAUUUUCAGUUUUGAUUCUUUCUUUAUAAAUAUCUCAGUGCCUGAAGCAACAGAUUGGGGGAAAAACGGCACAGUAAUCUGUCUCAAAGUUUUUGUGUUGCUACAUCUCUUUCGCAUGUUAAAAAUUCUGAGGUAAGAAGACCCCCCUCAGCCGUGAGCAGUAUAAGAAAAGUCUGUCCUUCUUUAUUAACGUCUCAACUUUAAAUGAGGGAAACACAAGGUAAACAAAUACGUGUAUCGCUCCUUCAGAUACACAUUUUAACAGAGAAUGUCAUAGCGGGUGUAGCCUUUUGAUACUAGAAAGGUGUUUAUAAGACAUUCCUUCAUCGCUAUAAAAAACUGAAUCCUGAAAUGUAUUUUCUCCCAGCUGCAAUCAGGUAUGGAUUUACUCUGGCAAGAGGCAGGCAAAGAAAAAGGCGAAGGAAAGCAAACUGAGUUUUCUGGGUUUUCAGAAGGGAGGCUAAUAGACAGUAUAGGAGAGGAAAGUAAGGGCUUCAGCAGUGAUAUGUAUGACGAUAAGGAUAUUGCCAUAUGUGAUAUAAAAUAAGCUGGGGAAUUUAAUAUGCCAUGUCAGAGAGAUUGGCCAACUAUAUGUUGUUAAAGAGCAAACACUGAAGAAGCUGUAAUUAGUGGAAAACUGGAGAUAAAGGAGAGUGGUAUAAAAAGUAAUAAAACCCAAUUUAGGCUAGACAUCUGAUCUCUUAGUUAAGGUGUCUGUUUUGUAGAUGUAAAAUUUGGAUCCAGCUCAUUUGGUAUGCACUAUGCAAAAGUGGGACUUAAACUAGUGAAUUGGGAAAUUGUGAACUGAGAAGAGAUAGCUGAGGGUGUGAGCCAGGGAGAACUGUCUGCAUGAAGGUAGUGCAGUCACAGAACUCUUGGAAGAAAGGUUUGGGCAUCACAUCUGUAUCUUCUUCCAUGGCAUCAAUACAAAGAGGGGAAUAAUAAAAUCAUUAAAAAUGGGAAGACCACUAAGAUCAUGUAGUCCAACCAUCAACCUAUCCCCACUGUGCCCGCUAAACCAUGUCCCUCAGUGCCAUAUCUCCAUGUUUCUUGAACACCUCUUGGGAUGGUGACUCUACCACCUCCCUGGGCAGCCUGUGCCAAUGCCUGACCAGUAAGAAUUUUUUUCCUAAUAUCGAACCUGAGAAAAAAAUAAAUCAAGUGACAAAGAAUAUUGGUGAGGACAAAAUAGAAGAUUGAGGAUGGGUUCCUACUAGUGUUCCACAGAGGACUGCUCAGGUCUUUGAGCUGGUUGCUCUACAUACACACAGCUGGCUGGGCUGUGUUUCCUGGGAGCUGCCUGUGACACUAGGGCUUGAUGGGUGAAAUCUGAAUGGAUGGAGUAAGGAAAAUAAUUACAGUAAUAAAUAUCAGAGUUAUGCCAUACAUUUAGAAUUGAAGGGAUGGAUAUUUACACUUCUAGGCAAAUGUGUUGUGCCCGGUUACUGCAGCCUCUGUAAAUCCAGUGGCAGAAGGCAUCUGAACAUAUUCCUGAAAGGUUUCCUACCCUGUUGCCACUCUCCAGAACUUUUAUCCCCACAAAGGGAUCAAAGCUAAUAGAGUUACCUGACAACUAAGUACAGCUGUGAAUUUAAAUGGGGUCUCUGUUUCUUUUUUUUUUUUUUAAUCCUAUAGUGGAGGAAUUGGUGUGUUUUUAAAGAUUCUGGCUCCCCUAAUUGGCACUGAAUUUGUCACACUGGCAGUUACAACCUCAGAAAAAAAAUAUCUGGAUGAUGGAAUCUGAAAUAUUGUCAAAAGAGUCAAUGUGUACAUUGAAAGCAAUUAAACAUAAGUUUUAUCCAAAAGCAAAAUAUUUCUUUUGUCUGCCAGGUUUACUAAGAUUUAUGAAAUUUUACCUAGAUUUUCAUUUUUUAUUAUUAUAAACAAUCCCAGGGUCAUGUAUUGAAACUCAAAGUUUCU